ACAGUCACAUGGGAGCUCCCUUGUAGAUAUGUCUUGGUGUGGGCCUCUUUGGGUUCCUCUUGUUUGGGACUCUCUGCGAUCCCUGGACUUUUAAGUCUAUUUCCUUCACCAGCUAAAAAUUCCAUGCCUCUAGAGACACCAAAUGGAGAUCACGAUUACAGCAGAUUUUCAGUGCAACUAAAGGAUCCAGCUGGUUUGCAGAAGCCCGUAUAUGCUCCCUCCUGUCCUGUGUGGUAGGGGCAGCCUCUGACUCUAUGAGGGAAGUCUCCCAUUGCCUGCCUGUGUCAUUGGUGAGCUAUGAACAAGUGCACUUGGCAACAGAUCUAAAGCCAUGCUCUUUCAUGUCUAAUGUAGUUAAGCUGACACUCUGACCUCCAUUUAUCUUUUGUCUCAUUUCUUGAGAAGAAAAAACAAAGAUUUUUUUUUUACUGGCCCUUUAAAACUACAAAGCAGGAC